rnacentral:RNase_P_RNA from 1 species
GGAGUCGGCCAGACAGUCGCGUCACUCUUCGGAGUGCCGAGGAAAGUCCGGGCUCCACAGGGCACGGUGCCAGGUAACGCCUGGGCGGCGCGAGCCGACGGAAAGUGCAACAGAAAGAUACCGCCGAACGGCGUCGAAAGACGUGCGUGGCAAGGGUGAAAUGGUGCGGUAAGAGCGCACCGCGAGCCUGGCAACAGGCCGGCACGGCAAACCCCACCGGGAGCAAGACCAAAUAGGGAGACGAUGCCGUGGCCCGCGGUGUCUCCGGGUAGGUUGCUCGAGCGUAUCGGUGACGAUGCGCCUAGAGGAAUGACUGUCCACGACAGAACCCGGCUUACCGGCCGGCUCCGCCC